AUGGAGCACCGACAAGGUAGGGAUGACCAUGAAGGGGUGCAGGUUGUUGGAUUUGAAGUCCCAUCAUCACCAGACUCAAGCUACAGCUACCCUAUCCCUGGAAACAAAGACGAAGCUCGAGAGCCCCCAUUGGUUUCUCCUCACCUGCAGCAUAUACUGCUGAGCUUCCCACCAAGCCAUGACGAUGGGAGAAGCCUCCCUCUGCCCUCACCUACUCUAUAUUGCAGCUUGCAGCAUCCGAUGAGAAACCAAGGUAGUUCCUCGGCCUGGCAGAUAACUCUCUAG
rnacentral:rRNA from 1 species